GAGGAAGGAAAGAAAGGAAUUAGAAAAAAGAAAGAGGAACGUGUUCCUCCUUCUUUCUCCUUCCUCCCUUCCCUUUUCCUUCCUCCAAAGAUGAAGAGAGGAAGGAGAAGAGAGAGUGACAAAGGAGGGUUUUUUAAAGAUUAAAUAAACAA
rnacentral:ribozyme from 13 species